rnacentral:rRNA from 1 species
AACGUAUGGGGCAAGCGUUAUCCGGAUUUACUGGGUGUAAAGGGAGCGUAGGCGGCCUGGCAAGCCUGAUGUGAAAUACCGGGGCCCAACCCCGGGGCUGCAUUGGGAACUGCCAGGCUGGAGUGCCGGAGAGGCAGGCGGAAUUCCUAGUGUAGCGGUGAAAUGCGUAGAUAUUAGGAGGAACACCAGUGGCGAAGGCGGCCUGCUGGACGGUGACUGACGCUGAGGCUCGAAAGCGUGGGGAGCAAACAGG